rnacentral:rRNA from 1 species
GUGGGGAAUAUUGGGCAAUGGGGGAAACCCUGACCCAGCAACGCCGCGUGAAGGAAGAAGGUUUUCGGAUCGUAAACUUCUAUCCUUGGUGAAGAUAAUGACGGUAGCCAAGAAGGAAGCCCCGGCUAACUACGUGCCAGCAGCCGCGGUAAUACGUAGGGGGCAAGCGUUGUCCGGAAUGAUUGGGCGUAAAGGGCGCGUAGGCGGCCUGGUAAGUCUGGAGUGAAAGUCCUGCUCUUAAGGUGGGAAUUGCUUUGGAUACUGUCGGGCUUGAGUGCAGGAGAGGUAAGCGGAAUUCCCGGUGUAGCGGUGAAAUGCGUAGAGAUCGGGAGGAACACCAGUGGCGAAGGCGGCUUACUGGACUGUAACUGACGCUGAGGCGCGAAAGUGUGGGGAGCAAACAGGAUUAGAAACCCCUGUAGUCC